UCUAUGUCAUACUUGCAGACAAUGCUGGAGUCAUUGUGAACCCAAAGGGAGAGAUGAAAGGUAUCAAUUGUCUGCACAAUUAAAUCAAUAUCUCCAUGAUUCUGCAUAUGUAUUUGUGUUGUUCCUCAUGCCUCUCUGUUUGCUAUAUUUUAUUGGUGCUCUAAAGAAGAACUCAAUGGAUGCAGGGAAGGAGAUGGAGGGUGACGCACAACCAUGGAGAGGAGCAGCAGUAGCACAAAGUCCUUUCUCCUCCACGCCACCUCUGCCACUCUCUCGUUUUGAUUUGCUAUGUUGGGUUCCAAGAUUAGAAAUAUUUUUUGUUUCCAUCUUUAUCCAUGUGCUAUCAUUAACUCUGAGAAAAUGUUAUGUUUUUGCUGAUUAGUGGCAGUACAUCUUUGCUUUACUAUUCCUAGCAGCUGCAGUUCAUCUAACAUAAACAUGUUGUGUACAUUCUGAACCCGCAAACAUGACACAAGUGAUAUGUAUAUGCAGCAGGGAAUCGUCAACUUGUAAAGUUUGUUGACUGGAAUGUAACUUGUACAACUUUUUACUUGAAUAUGUUCAGUUAUGUAGUCGUGUAGUUGUUUAUUCUUAUCAGUUCUAAACUGCAGUACUUUACUGAAUUGUUGAUGAUGCUGAAUGAAUCUAGCUUGUUGGGUUUAGUCUCUUGUUCAGUAUCUUUUCUGAAUCUAGCUUUGUCUUGUAUAGCAGAAUCACCGCUCCCUAGAAUUAUCUGUCUGAAUGAACAAUGGGAUCCGUUCUGAGAUCAUUCUUGUUGUGUAGUUUCGUCUGGUCAAGCGGCCGCAUGACACUUAUUUGGAAUUAAUAAUAACAAAUCUGGUAAUAUUAUAUUACUUUUACUAAACUAUUCUUGUUAUCCUUUAGAUUAAAAAUCAUUGUUUAAGAGGUCCUAUUCUUUCCUUUUAUCUAUUCAAAACAAUGGAAUCUCUUUUCUUUUGCGAAUUGGGAUAUCUUAGUGGCCUGAUGCUUAGGUGUGUUGCAAACUCUCAGCAUCAGUACGCGUUCUGUGUGUGCGCGUGUGUUUAAUUCAUGUUUUACAUUGAAAAGUGGCUGACCAAACGAGCAACUAUGACAUGAAACAUCUCUGUUUCUUGUUCUCUGCUCUGCUUUCAUGUAGCAACUUAGUACUAAAUUUGAGAGUAUGGGUGCUGGUAGCAUCACCUGCUGUUCUGAUGUUCUUCAUCAACUGCUUGGCACCAAUUGUUAUGUUUUGCAUUGAUAUGAACUUAAAAUAGUACUACAACUGAUAUGAACAGUAUCAACUGGUACCAACUGUCCAAUGUUGAUUUUGCACUGAUAUGAACUUACAACAGUACUACAACUGCUUGGUACCAUGCCGCCUUCACAUUUGAGUAUUACUUGGUUUUGUUUUUAUCCUUAAUUAGUAUCAAUUGUUGUAUUGUAGACUUACCAUUCUGGUGGUUCCUCUUUUACAGAAGCUCAAGUGUGAAGUCGUGAAGUGUGAAGCCAAGUGUGAAGCCGUGAAGUCCAACUCAUUGUAGCAUAUCUGUGUUGUAAAGAUUGUAAUAGAUUAAUUUAGUGGUAUAUUUGAUGAAUUUUGUGUGUUCUUUGUUCUAUUUUAAAUAUUGAUUAUGUAUGUGAUUUGAAAAUUGUGAAAUGGAAACAUGUCCAGUGGGGCCACAUAUGAAAAUAAUCUGUCAAAUUUGUACAUUUCUGACAUGUGAAA
rnacentral:lncRNA from 1 species